rnacentral:rRNA from 1 species
UUGAACGCUGGCGGCAGGCCUAACACAUGCAAGUCGAACGGUAACAGGAAGCAGCUUGCUGCUUCGCUGACGAGUGGCGGACGGGUGAGUAAUGUCUGGGAAGCUGCCUGAUGGAGGGGGAUAACUACUGGAAACGGUAGCUAAUACCGCAUAAUGUCGCAAGACCAAAGAGGGGGACCUUCGGGCCUCUUGCCAUCGGAUGUGCCCAGAUGGGAUUAGCUUGUUGGUGGGGUAACGGCUCACCAAGGCGACGAUCCCUAGCUGGUCUGAGAGGAUGACCAGCCACACUGGGACUGAGACACGGUCCAGACUCCUACGGGAGGCAGCAGUGGGGAAUAUUGCACAAUGGGCGCAAGCCUGAUGCAGCCAUGCCGCGUGUAUGAAGAAGGCCUUCGGGUUGUAAAGUACUUUCAGCGGGGAGGAAGGGAGUAAAGUUAAUGCCCUUGCUCAUUGACGUUACCCGCAGAAGAAGCACCGGCUAACUCCGUG